AGAGUUUGAUCCUGGCUCAGGAUGAACGCUAGCGGCAGGCUUAACACAUGCAAGUCGAGGGGCAGCACGGGUAGCAAUACCUGGUGGCGACCGGCGCAAGGGUGCGUAACGCGUGAGCAACAUGCCCGUAUCAGGGGAAUAAUCCAGGGAAACUUGGUCUAAUACCCCACAGUAAAUAUUAAAGGCAUCUUUAAUAUUUUAAAGCUUUGGUGGAUACGGAUUGGCUCGCGUGACAUUAGCUAGAUGGUAAGGUAACGGCUUACCAUGGCUACGAUGUCUAGGGGUUCUGAGAGGAAGAUCCCCCACACUGGAACUGAGACACGGUCCAGACUCCUACGGGAGGCAGCAGUGAGGAAUAUUGGACAAUGGAUGGAAAUCUGAUCCAGCCAUGCCGCGUGCAGGAAGACGGCCCUAUGGGUUGUAAACUGCUUUUAUAUGGGAGCAAUAAGACCUACGUGUAGGUUGAUGAGAGUACCAUAUGAAUAAGCACCGGCUAACUCCGUGCCAGCAGCCGCGGUAAUACGGAGGGUGCAAGCGUUAUCCGGAUUUAUUGGGUUUAAAGGGUGCGUAGGCGGUUUGAUAAGUCAGCGGUGAAAUAUUUCAGCUUAACUGGAAGGGUGCCGUUGAUACUGUCAGGCUUGAAUUUAGUUGCUGUGGGUGGAAUGUGUGGUGUAGCGGUGAAAUGCAUAGAUAUCACACAGAAUAUCGAUUGCGAAGGCAGCUCACAAAGCUAAUAUUGACGCUGAUGCACGAAAGUGUGGGGAUCAAACAGGAUUAGAUACCCUGGUAGUCCACACUGUAAACGAUGAUAACUCGCUGUCGGCGAUACAUAGUCGGUGGCCAAGCGAAAGCGAUAAGUUAUCCACCUGGGGAGUACGACCGCAAGGUUGAAACUCAAAGGAAUUGACGG
rnacentral:rRNA from 1 species